rnacentral:misc_RNA from 1 species
GAAUGUGAUUUUCUCACUACAAGAAUUCAGAGUUUGUCUGUCUAAAGGCUGCAUUAUAACCAUACAUAUCGAAAAGCCUAUUAUCUGAAAUCAUAUGUCCAUCUUCUCUCCCAGGAAAAAUCUCCAUUGGCGGAGCCCAAGGACCUGAAUUCGGGUUGUUAGAGCUAGAGGUUUCUUGAAUCGGAUUUUGUGAAUUAGUAUUGUUUUGGGGUGAGUUCCCAGUUGCCCUCUUGUUGGAUGUGUUGUUUGUUGUCAUAGAUAUAGAUGAUGACUGAUGCUGCUGAUUCUUCAUUGGUGACUUGGGACGAAGAGCCUCUAUUUCAGGUGUUGUAACAACAAGAUGUGGGGCAUCUGGUGGUGGAUUCCUCCCUCCUCCACCCUGCCACACUUUUCCAUCUCUAUCGGCAAAAUUCCGCACAUAGGCCUCUGCACUGAAAUUCGAUGAAGAUAAUCCAUUACCAACAGUCAGCCAGCCAGAUCGAAUAUUAUGAUCUUCACCGAAGAGCUCAAGCCUUCUCCGGCCAAGUGCAAAAUGCUCAAUUAUACGGUACAUAUCUUCAGGCUUUGCACUUGAUCCAUAAGGAGGUUCCUCAGCAAUAAUCACAUCUGUGUCAAUAUUUGCAUGAAUUAUAUGCCCAUCGGUACUACGACGAACAGUUCCUUUUAUGCCCAAAAGGCAGUGCUCCUUUGUAUGCUGCAAUAAAGUAUGGGAAUCAUGACGCAAUCCUGGAGUUGCAGUGGUCUUAUUUGUUUUCACCCAACAUAUAUCCUCACAUCUGCGGAAUCCCCACUUCUUCAAACAUUGGCGCCCUUGCUCGAGCCCCACGCCAUCACCAACCCAAAG